GAUGAACGCUGGCGGCGUGCCUAAUACAUGCAAGUCGAGCGAACGGACGAGAAGCUUGCUUCUCUGAUGUUAGCGGCGGACGGGUGAGUAACACGUGGAUACCCUACCUAUAAGACUGGGAUAACUUCGGGAAACCGUAGCUAAUACCGGAUAAUAUUUUGAACCGCAUGGUUCAAAAGUGAAAGACGGUCUUGCUGUCACUUAUAGAUGGAUCCGCGCUGCAUUAGCUAGUUGGUAAGGUAACGGCUUACCAAGGCAACGAUGCAUAGCCGACCUGAGAGGGUGAUCGGCCACACUGGAACUGAGACACGGUCCAGACUCCUACGGGAGGCAGCAGUAGGGAAUCUUCCGCAAUGGGCAAAAGCCUGACGGAGCAACGCCGCGUGAGUGAUGAAGGUCUUCGGAUCGUAAAACUCUGUUAUUAGGGAAGAACAUAUGUGUAAGUAACUGUGCACAUCUUGACGGUACCUAAUCAGAAAGCCACGGCUAACUACGUG
rnacentral:rRNA from 1 species